AUCACUGUAGACCAGCUAACACCGGCAGCAUAAGCUGGUUCUUAGCAGUUUUUUUUCACCAGGGAUGUGACGGCAUAAUGUACCACAGCUGGAGGCGUUUGAGUUCAAAGCCCUUUCAGGUCCCAGUAGGAACAGCAGAUGGAUGUAAUUUAAUCACAAAAAAGAGACAAACGCAAAGGAAGUCGCUCCCCCAGCCCCUCCUCCACGUGUUUUUGUUCUUUCUUUAUGCAAUUACUGGUCUUUCAGUUUUAUUAUAGCUGCUCCCGGCUCACUGUGACUGCUUUGUAAAGACAGCGUGAAGCUGAGGGUGCCUGCACUUUUGCGAAUGCUGUAAGAUGGAACCUUGCUCUGCUAAUAGUUCAAAUUCAGUGGAUGUUUGAACUUGGAACUCUGAAGUUCAGCCGGUUUCAGUGCAUUUUGCAGUUAUAUCUUGCGGUGCUUCCUUCCAGUGCCAGGUCGGCACCACUGCAUGUCUGUCCACUUGCUAAAUGGGGAUCCCGUCCAAGUUGCCCUGGGUCAAACACUGGUUCUGGAAGCUCAAGUCAACAAAACCCCAGGACAUGAGAUUUCAAUGGUGACGUGGGAGCUGCAAAGAGACAAACAAAGAGAGAAGGUAGCCGAAUAUCCCAAGAGGAACCUCAAGUUGGAUGUCUCCCUCGACCAGCAGGGGAUGGUACUGAGAGUUACUAAACUGAACGAAACAGGCUACGGAAUUUAUACUGUGACUGUGACUGACAAAAACGGGAAAGAAUACACUGCUAGACGUACCGUAAAAGAAGCUGUGACACCACCAGAAGCGUCCAUCUCGCUCUACUGCGACGUGCCCCUCACACGGUGGGACGUGCCGGGGUUCGUGUGGCUAGUGGAUGGGGUGGACGUGUCCAACAACACGAGUGUCCUCUCUGCAGACGGCAGGAGACUCUUCCUGUCUGCACAGAAAGGGUUAAACUACACCUGUGUAGUGAGCAGCAGCCAGGGAACCAGUGUUGCCCAGUAUAUCACAGGUGUCAUCUCAGCAGCCUGUGACGGGCUUAUAUGCAGCAGCUGGAUCUGGGUCUUGGUGACCCUGCCCUUUGCUGUCUGCUUCUAGCGACUAUUUAUUGAGGCAACAGGGUGGCACUCCCAGCCAAUCAUCAAGCUCUAUCAAUUGACUCUGCCCACUCACAGGGUCUUGUGCCAAAUGACAGCAUCCAUCAGCAUAGUGCGAUUGGGACCUCGCAGAAGAUGACCACAACCUAACAACUGAGGUUUCUGUGUCACAUUAAUGCAGAAACUGCUAUCUUCAUUAAUAUUAAUUGUGACAUUUUUACUACUGUGGUGUAAUAAAGAUGUAUUUUGCUUGUGAUAAUAAAAAAUAUUUUCAUAAUUUCA